UAAUUAAUGGUCCAUCUUCAAGACAAACGU
rnacentral:piRNA from 1 species